rnacentral:rRNA from 1 species
AUUGAACGCUGGCGGCGUGCCUAAUACAUGCAAGUCGAGCGAAGCGGGGACGGGUGAGUAACACGUGGAUAACCUCCUAUAAGACUGGGGUAACUUCGGGAAACCGGAGCUAAACCGGAUGCUUAUAGAUGGAUCCGCGCUGCAUUAGCUACGUGGUAAGGUAACGGCUUACCAAGGCAACGAUGCAUAGCGGACCUGAGAGGAUGAUCGGCCACACUGGAACUGAGACACGGUCCAGACUCCUACGGGAGGCAGCAGUGGGUAAUCGUCCUCAAUGGGCGAAAGCCUGACGGAGCAACGCCGAGUGAGUGAUGAAGGUCUGCGGAUCGUAAAACUCUGUUAUUAGUGAGGCGGUACCUGAUCAGAAAGCCACGGCUAACUACGUGCCAGCAGCCGCGGUAAUUC